UUCAGAAGGGCCAUGGCAGAAGGGCAUAUUCUGCAGCUGUAGCAAUAACUACCACUGAUAGAUGUUGUUAGCAAGAUUAGAGUGUGGCUAUUGAGUUGGAAUGAGUUGGAAUGAAGAACACGUAUAAGCGUUGGUGGCAUGGCAAUUGGCAAAGGGUUUUGGCCGGGAUCAUCCAUCCUAACAUGCAUGCUUGGUGUUAUUACUACUUAUGCCUCAGUUACAAGUGAUGUUUGGAGACGAAUGGUACAGGUUUUUGUUAACCCGCCCAAAUUUUAACCAAAUUACUGUAAGUAAGAGCAUUGCCUUAUCUACUUUAACUUGGCAAAUUAAAGGAAUAAUACUGCUAAGAUAGGAAGAUUAUAUCCCCUGCUCAUCUAUAUGGCCCAGUUAAUAGGGUUAUUUAAACUGCAAGCUAAGGUUAAUUUUUAUUUCUCUUCAUGUCUACAAUUUUCUAGUGAUAAAUAUAUUUGUUUUGAUCCAAUUUUAUCUUGU